rnacentral:rRNA from 1 species
UACGUAGGGGGCAAGCGUUAUCCGGAUUUACUGGGUGUAAAGGGAGCGUAGACGGCAUUGCAAGUCCGGAGUGAAAGCCCACGGCCCAACCGUGGGACUGCUCUGGAGACUGUAGAGCUGGAGUGCGGGAGGGGCAGGCGGAAUUCCUAGUGUAGCGGUGAAAUGCGUAGAUAUUAGGAGGAACACCGGCGGCGAAGGCGGCCUGCUGGACCGUAACUGACGUUGAGGCUCGAAAGCGUGGGGAGCAAACAGG